UUAAAAUUCUUUCUGUUGAGUGAUAAACACAUGCUUGAAAGCUCAAAUUAUAUUUAAAACACCUAUUAAAUAUAUUAUUAUAUUUAUAUGUACAGUAAUAUAAUAAAUGUAUUUUAUAUAUAAUAAUGAUUUAAAGUACUUGUUUAAAAUUCUCUAUUGCUGAGUGAUAAACACAUGCUUCGUAACUUCUCUGGUUCUGUUUUAUUCAUUAUAAUCCUCAAAAACCCUGAAAGAAACAGAAUAACCUUUUUAUUGACCCACUCAAGUUAUUUAAUUUUUAUGUUUCCCUAGCCCAUAUCUGUUCACGUAUAGCUGAAAAUAAAAAAGAAACGGUGGAUUGAAAUUGAAGGGAAAUAGACAAUAGUUAUUGUUCCUAGCUUAAUUGGGAGAGAAAGCCAGAGUAAAAUAAGAGUCUAUUGCAGCUAAGAGGAAGAAGUUCUUUAGUCUCAACCAAAUAUGUAAAUAUAACAUCUCUCUUCUAAUAUUUUUAGUGCUAAUUCCUAGUAUAGAGCUGAUUAAGGGUGGGGGAAGCACAUAUUUAAUGGCCAUUAUUAUGCUAUUCUGAGGAAAAUUCUCUCAGUGUCUAAUAUUUUAAAAAUGGGUUUUAAUUAGAUCUUAUCAGCAACCCUAAAAUGCAACUUUUCUCACCCUCCAGAAAACAAAACAAAACAAAACAAAACUCACACCAUCCCCAAAACUAGGCUUGAUGAAUAACCACAUGGAAAAUAUGGAAAGAUGUUUCAUUAACCACACGGCAGAUGGAACUAGGUGGGAGGAAAACCUACCACAGCUUCUCUUAAUGGCAUAUUCAGGCUUUACUUCAGAAAAGGGAAGCAUCUAAAAAAGAUUGGAAGAAUUUCUCACCACUCUGCAGGCAGCUGUCUCCUCCCAGCACCCAGGACCUGAACUCAGAAACUACCAGCAACACAGACGAACUCCGGGUGAGGACGACAAGAGCUGAGCUCGGGUGCUUGCCUUCUGCACUCUCGGGAGGAGGCACCAGCAUGGGCACCCUUCACAGUUCGGGCCCCUCACUCACAAACGUCUGGCACAUGGAAACAAGCUGGCAAAAAGAUUGUUUUUUUCUUCUGUACUUUUUGUUAUAAGCCUGUGGUGAAGUGUCCAUAUCUGGCAUAAAUGAAUGUGAGUGGUCUUGGGAAUCUAAAUAUAACAUGUUUCUAAGUUACACACAGCAUAAAUGAGUGUUUAUGAGUGGUCUUGGGAAUCUAAAUAUAAUACAUUUCUAAAUUACAACCAACCAACUUACAGGGGGCAUUUUGGUCUUUAACCUGUUUAUUAAAUCAGACACUGCCUGAACUUUCCUCUGAAGGAAGAGAGGAAUGAGUAUUUACUGAAUGCUAAUUAAGUGCUACUCACAUUACUGGAAUGCUUCUCUCUGAUCCACCAGCCCCAGGAGAAAGGCCCUGUCCUCAUUUUGCAAGCGAGGAAAUGGAGGCUCAGAG
rnacentral:lncRNA from 1 species